UACGGAAGGCAGCAGUGGGGAAUAUUGCACAAUGGGCGAAAGCCUGAUGCAGCUAUGCCGCGUGUAUGAAGAAGGCCUUAGGGUUGUAAAGUACUUUCAUCGGGGAGGAAAAACAAAACUAAUAAUUUUAUUUCUUGACGUUACCCGAAAAAGAAGCACCGGCUAACUCCGUGCCAGCAGCCGCGGUAAUACGGAGGGUGCUAGCGUUAAUCAGAAUUACUGGGCGUAAAGAGCACGUAGGUGGUUUUUUUAAGUCAGAUGUGAAAUCCCUGGGCUUAACCUAGGAACUGCAUUUUGAAACUGAAAUACUAGAGUAUCGUAGAGGGAGGUAGAAUUCUAGGUGUAGCGGUGAAAUGCGUAGAUAUCUGGAGGAAUACCUGUGGCGAAAGCGGCCUCCUAAACGAAUACUGACACUGAGGUGCGAAAGCGUGGGGAGCGAAACAGGGAUUAGAU
rnacentral:rRNA from 1 species